GACGAACGCUGGCGGCGUGCCUAACACAUGCAAGUCGAGCGGAGUCGAUCGACGGAAGCCUUCGGGCGGAAGAUGGUUGACUUAGCGGCGGAUGGGUGAGUAACGCGUGGGCAACCUGCCUCGAAGACCGGGAUAACAGCCCGAAAGGGCUGCUAAUACCGGAUGUGGUCAAGGAUCCGCAUGGAUUUUGAUUAAAGGGGAAACCCGUUUCGAGAUGGGCCCGCGUCCUAUCAGCUAGUUGGUGAGGUAAAAGCUCACCAAGGCGACGACGGGUAGCCGGCCUGAGAGGGUGACCGGCCACACUGGAACUGAGACACGGUCCAGACUCCUACGGGGGGCAGCAGUGGGGAAUCUUCCACAAUGGGCGAAAGCCUGAUGGAGCGACGCCGCGUGAGCGAAGAAGGCCUUCGGGUUGUAAACCUCUGUCACCGGGGAAGAAUGGCUAUGACCUAAUACGUCAUGGUUUGACUUAACCCGGAGAGGAAGCAGUGGCUAACUCUGUG
rnacentral:rRNA from 1 species